GUACCAGUUUGAUCAUUUCAAUAUUGGAAUGUAGAUCGAGGAUAAAUAAAGCAGACGUGAUGCUAUAAUCAUGAGUGAUAAUUCCACCUAUUGAGUAAAAUCGUCAGACAUUUAAUUAGGUAGAGAAUCAAGAUCAGGUUAUAUUGUGAAGGGCUGAAGAAUGGAUUAUGAUUUGUGAGAAAAAGAACUCAUCCUCGUUGAGAAAGAGAUGCUACUUAAUUAAUAGAAACACUGUUGAUGAUAGGAGUUGCAUUAGUAGUUGACAGGAAUCAAUUAUUAAAAACUCCUAGAUCUGAAUGUCCAUGCAACUUGAAUAAGAGAUAUAUUAGAUAGAGAAACAUUUACCUUUUCCCUAUUAGUGCUGCUGUUUUCAGAAAUUGACUCUCAUAUCCUCCACCUGGCUUUAAUAAGGAGCGGCAGAGCAAUACAUUACAUCUAAUAGGUGGAGGAUGGAAAACAAAGGUCCACGUACACUAUUCACAACGUAAACGCUCCACGCGUCCUGCCGCUAAAGAUGCAUAUACCACAUCCAAUACAUUACAUCUAGUAGGUGGAGGAUGGGAAAACAAAGGCCCACGUACACUAUUCAGAAGGUAAAUGCUCCACGCGUCCUGCCGCUAAAGAUGCAUAUACCACAUAUCAAGGUAUCAAUGAGGGAGUAUAAGUUAGGCAUAAAUCUAUAGCGACAUAACUUAAUUACAAGUUUAAGAAAGUGCUCGUUAGGUUGAUUGCAGCAAAUGCUCAGCUUAUCUGAUUCAGAAAAUGGCAAAUGGCAAAUGGAAAAUGUCAUAGUAAUAAGGAGAGCUAUAAACAAGAUGAGUUCAGCUGAUUAAUGGAAUACGCAUGGUUCAAUUGUUAAAAUAAUAUCAGCUUGAGCAUACUGAACUCAGGAGAACUCAAGCUGUAGCUCGAAUUGGCUCAUUACACAACAACUACAGCUUGAUAUGUGCAAAUACACUUGGCAAGACAAUAAAAGCACAUCACAUUUUUAGGCUUCCCUAAAACUUUCCACAUUAUCAACUUUUAUGAUCUUGAUCACAAGGCAAAAUAAGCAUCCACUGAACACAUAUGAACUUGAUCUCAAAACCUGCUCAUAAUUUAAACAAGUAAGCAAAGUCGAACAUAUUCAAGUCAAGUCAAGUUGUUUCUGUUGAACUCAGCUUAUUCGUAAAGCUAUUGAAAUCAUGUCAAGUACAUAAAGCUUAGUUUUCUGGAGUCAAGUUCAUGAUGCUCAAGUGAUGCAAUUGAAUAAAAUGAAACAACUGCUUAUCGAAUAAGAUCAAUAAAAAAUUGAAAUACAUGAGAAGGUCAUGAUAUACCUAGACUGAAAUGUUGAACCUAUAUAUACAAUAACAUAAUGAAAGCAAAGUGAGUCAUCAAAAAGCUACCUGAAUGAUGCAUGAAUAAAAAGGAAUAAGGAGGGGUGUAAAUAAAGAAGGAAUGUGAUAAUUAUAGUCUGAUGCAAAGCAUACCGA
rnacentral:lncRNA from 1 species